ACAAAUAAAUUUGUUUUUUUGUUCGAGUUAUAGAGCUUUAAUAUUGUUCGAGUUACAAACUAGUCAAUAGGGAAAAAAAUGUGUUCGAGUUAGCACGUCGUUCGACUUAGCGGCUAUUCGAGUUACCGCGAGUGCACUGUAUAAUAUAUACUUAUGCGCAAACAUGGCAUUCGAUGCAUAUGUUAACGUAUAUAAAAGGUAGCAUACCGGAAUGCAUAAACCCACUUAAUCGAGAAGAGAAAUGAUAUUAUAAGAGAGAAAGAGGGAGGAAAAAGAUACAUCGUGGAAUGUAUAAUGCAUAUUUUAAAGCCGGUACAUGAAUAUACAUUACAAUUUCCGACUGGAUAUAUGUAUAUAGUAUAAACAUUAACAUAUGUACGUUUUUUUAGCCAGUCUAAUUGUGGGAUUGUAAUCACAGCAAGUCACAAAAUGUGUGUUACUGUCGUAUAAUCUUUCUAAACCCUUAGUGAAUGCCAAACUAGGAAGCAUAAUUAUACGCAACUAUGUACAUACAUAGGCAUACAUAUUUUUUGGGCCGCUGUGUAUUCGAAAUGGUUUCUUCGAUGUAUUGUGUUGGAAGCACUGCACGCAUAUUCCGUUUACUGACGGGAGCGUCAAAUAUUAACUUUCCGCAAUAUUACAACGUGAAUAAAUCAAUAAACGUCAACACCGUUACAGUCCUACCAACAGGAAAUAAUAAUUCAACAGCAGUAGUAGCAGCGCCACCAGUAACCGACAUAUCCUUUGGUGCUAACUGCGGCACCAAAGUCAUUACGUCACUAGUUUUUAACUGUGGGUACUCCACUAAUUUAAACAGGCAUUUUCUUAACGCUCAGCAGACCAAUUGCAGACAUUUUUCAAGUCUACAGAUACCAUUGCAGUUCGAGCCUACUAAAUUAAUACAUCAAACAACAAUGGCGACUUGGAAAAAUCGUCGUUUCCUUUCAACUAAAGAAAUCACUAAAAAUAUGACAUUUUUCACAAAUGAACCAUUCAACAGCGAAGUGGACCCAAAGACGCUUGAAUUCAAGAAACCUUCCAGAAACCCACUUGUUUUAAUUAUGGCGUGGCUAAUGGCAAGUCAAAAACAUCUAAGGAAGUAUGCUCAAAUCUAUACUGAUAUGGGAUUCGAUGUUAUGGCCGUACACGUUACACCGUGGCAGCUUCUUUGGCCAGUUAAGGGAACACAGGUUGUCGCUGCAGAUACGCUUAAAUUUAUGGAAAUCAACAAAUCUUAUGCGCCAAUUGUUAUUCAUGGAUUUUCAGUGGGUGCUUAUCAAUUGGGCGAAGUGAUGUUACAAAUGGCUCGUGACAUGGAACGUUACUCACAAGUAUUGGAUAGAAUUGCUUGUCAAAUUUGGGAUAGUGCUGCUGAUAUUACAGAAAUCCCAAUUGGCGUGCCAAAGUCGAUAUUUCCGAAAAAUCCCCGCAUGCAAAGUGCACUACGUAACUAUAUGUUAUACCACAUGAAGACAUUCCACAAUCAAGCCACAAUCCAUUAUAUGCGAUCCAGCCAAAUGUUUCAUUCUACAUUGGUUAAACAGCCAGCAUUAUUUUUUGUAUCGGAGAAUGAUCCAAUUGGACCACCUUCGUCGAAUCAAGCGGUACGUGAAAAUUGGGAACGCGCCAACAUUAAAGUUUCAUUCAAAUGUUGGGAACGUUCACAGCAUGCAGCACAUUUCGUGAGGCACCGGGAGGAGUAUUUGGAAUGUCUUUUAAAGCACCUUCAAAGUUGCGGGGUAAUCGAGAGCGUUGGCUUAAAAACUCGAGCUAAAUUAUAAAAACAGAAAGGAACUAAAAUGCUAAUAUUACGAAUUUAAAGAAUAUAAUUUAAUAGAAGUUUAUAUGGAAUCAUAUGAGGCAGGCCACAUUAUGCGGCAACGAAACUGCACGACACGACAUUGUUUAGCAAAGUUGACCGACUAUGCAGGGCCUUGGCGCACAGCUCUACUGCCAUAUAGUGCGGCUUAGCAAUCAGCAGUUCCACGGUGUUUAAUUAAAAAUUCUACAAAGAUUUUUGGUGUGCAGUUUUAUAGGUUAAUAAAUUUUAAUAUAGUAAAGUGUAAGUUCGAAGUUGCUUAUAAAUCUCGUUGAUUUUUUAUAAAUUAUUACCUUAAUGGU